GAUGAACGCUAGCGGCAGGCCUAACACAUGCAAGUCGAGGGGAAGCAGGAUUAAGCUUGCUUAAUUGCUGACGACCGGCGCACGGGUGCGUAACGCGUAUGCAACCUACCUUAUACUGGGGUAUAGCCCGGAGAAAUUCGGAUUAAUCCCCCCUAGUACUAAUGAAUCGCAUGGUUUAUUAGUUAAAGCAUUGCGGUAUAAGAUGGGCAUGCGUCCUAUUAGCUAGAUGGUGAGGUAACGGCUCACCAUGGCUACGAUAGGUAGGGGGCCUGGGAGGGUGGUCCCCCACACUGGUACUGAGACACGGACCAGACUCCUACGGGAGGCAGCAGUGAGGAAUAUUGGUCAAUGGGCGCAAGCCUGAACCAGCCAUGCCGCGUGCAGGAAGAAUGCCCCAUGGGUUGUAAACUGCUUUUAUUUGGGAAUAAACCUCUUUACGUGUAGAGAGCUGAAGGUACCAAAUGAAUAAGCACCGGCUAACUCCGUGCCAGCCGCCGCGGUAA
rnacentral:rRNA from 1 species